ACGUCGCGAAAAUCAACAGAGAGCGUAAUCAAUUGUUAUUAAGCUUAGAUGUACAAGAAUAGGACCGAAAUAACACGCUCCCCCAGCCACAAAGCAGAGUAUCUUCCAUAAAAAAACUGAGUAUCUCCCCUCACUGUAAAAAACAGAGUAUUUAACUUUGCUACAAAGCAGCUUGUGAAGCACAGAAAACCAGUCGUAACUUUCAGCCACUGCUUCACCCUCAGUGCAACGUACACCUCCACUCCACUCACCUGUACCAAUGGGGUGUGAUCUCUUUGAUUUUCAUCUCCAGCAAGCACUGCUUAAUAACAAAACUAUCAAUGACCAUUUUUACAGUCUGAAACAUAGGCACAUAGAUAUUAGUAUAUGUACUACAAAAUAUAAAUAAAUGCUCAACAUACAGCAAGCCACUGGAGGCAUUGCUCCUGAAGGGCAUUCACUAUUGUAUAUGUAUCAUUAGAUUACUACUUAAUUGAACAAACUUUCACCCUUUUGCACUAUACAAUAUAAAGCAAGAUUUGAAAUCGAACAGGGAACAGAAUACUUGGUUUGAUUUCUUUGAGAUAUAAAACAUCAAGCCUCGUAUCUAGGACCAACACUGCAUACGUGUAAAGGUAAAAAUAAUUUGUACUCUUUACAUCGUAGCCAGAAGGGACAGUCAUUGUGCACAUGUAAAUGUCUGAAGUAUGAAGCAACAUUAAUAUGCAUGGAUAAUCACAUUGCAAAGACAGUACUUUCUCGCAGAUUAAACUAUCCUGCAAACCAGCCACCAAAUCAAUUUAGUAUGGACACAAAAAAUUACCAAACAACACACUAACCAAGUGAAAGCAAUGAUCACCUCACAUUCUGGGACGGGCUCCUUCUCUUUAGGUGUCAUAUUUUGCUGACAUGCUCUAACACUUACUCGCCUUGCUUGGAUUUCUUCUGGUGUACGGCUAGCAUAUCUUAUUGCUUCACAUUCACGCUUUCACCCUACAACAUUUACGCAAGAAAUUAAUUAAGUGGGUAAAUGAAAUUAUAUAAGCAAACACAUUCGCCUUAUAGAUUUACCUUUUGAGCUUUCUCCUCGCUCCAAGACCU
rnacentral:lncRNA from 1 species